rnacentral:rRNA from 1 species
UACGGGGGGGCAAGCGUUGUUCGGAAUUACUGGGCGUAAAGGGCUCGUAGGCGGCCAACUAAGUCCGACGUGAAAUCCCCAGGCUUAACCUGGGAACUGCGUCGGAUACUGGAUGGCUUGAAUCCGGGAGAGGGAUGCGGAAUUCCAGGUGUAGCGGUGAAAUGCGUAGAUAUCUGGAGGAACACGGUGGCGAAGGCGGCAUCCUGGACCGACACUG